rnacentral:misc_RNA from 1 species
GUGAAUCAUCAAAUUUUUGAACGCAAAUUGCACUCCCUGGUAUUCCGGGGAGUAUGCCUGUUUGAGGGUCGUUAGAACAAAAAUCGAAGCGUCGCUCUUUUUUUUAAGGGUGAUCGCGUCGGAAUUGAGCAGCCUUUCAAAGGUGAAUUCAUGGCAAAGGGGCGUAGAAUUCAUCCAUCCGGUACGACUAAAGCGUAGUUAAGAUCAACUUUGAUUAAGAACGCGCGAUGAACGUACCAGCUCAUGUAGUACGUUGGACUUGACGUCGUCAGGAUAAUUCGGAU